GCGUCGGUGGUAUAACGGUUAGCAUAGCUGCCUUCCAAGCAGUUGACCCGGUUCGACUCCCGGCCGACGCA
rfam:Stegodyphus mimosarum contig5129, whole genome shotgun sequence.